rnacentral:misc_RNA from 1 species
UCAUGGGCAUUAUGAAUUUACUGUUAUACCCUUAGGGCUAACAAAUGCCCCUACCACUUUUCAGGCUCUUAUGAAUCACAUAUUUCAGCCCUAUUUGAGGAAGUUUGCGUCAGUAUUCUUUAAUAAUAUCCUCAUAUAUAGUUCAUCAUGGGAACAACAUUUGCAACACUUGGAAUUAGUUUUUGAAGUGUUGAAACAACAACGAUUGUAUGCCAAACUCAGCAAGUGUUCAUUUAGCAAAAUUGAGAUGGAUUAUUUGGGCCUUAAUACAUCUGGAAGGGGGGUUGCCAUAGACCCUGCCAAGAUUCAGGCUGUUACAUCUUGGCCAACCCCUAAAUCAGUGAAAGAAUUGAGGAGGUAUUAUAGAAAAUUUGUCCACAAUUAUGGUAUAAUCAGUAAACCUCUUAUUGAUAUGUUAAAAAAGGAUGCUUUCCAGUGGACUGAUGCAGCUCAAUAUGCACUUGAUAAUCUUAGAACAAUCAUGUCUCAAGCACCAGUAUUAGCACUUCCUGAUUUCUCUAAGCCAUUUACUUUUGAAAUAGAUGCUAGUGGUUCUAGGAUGGAGGCAGUCUUGCAACAGAAAGGGCAUCCCAUUUCAUAUAUCCCUACGGCAUUUGGUUCCAAAACAAAUGCCUUGUCAGUCUGUGAGAGAGAGUUGUUGGCCAUUACUUUUGCUGUCUCCAAGUAUAGACAUUACUUGGAGAAAGGUCCAUUUUUUAUUAAGACUAACUAUGAGAGUAUUGAGCACUUCAUGGAGCAAAUAUUGCAUAUCAACUUGCAAUUAAGGGGUGUUUCUAAAUUAUUAGGGCUGCAAUACAACUAUACAAGAUUUUGUGAAAGGGUGUGGAUAACGAAGUUGCUGAUGCUUUGUCUAGAAAACCUGCAGUAGCAUAUGCUGAAUUACACUCUUCAUGCCUCCUUGCAGUUUACUUGGAUGACUCAGUUGUCUCACAAUUAUGAUGGGGAUCCUCAAGCUGCAGAAUUAAUAUCUCAGCUUUCAAUAGAUGAGUUGGCUCAUCCUGGGUACUCUUAUAAGGAUAGCCUUUUGCUUUAUAAGGAUAAGCUGUAUGUAGGGAGUAAUAGGAGUUUAAAAGAGCAUCUACUGGCUCUUUAUCACAAUUCUCACUUUGGGGAACACUCCAAAAUUAAUGCCACUUUUGUAAAUAAUAAUCUGCAGCGAAGAAGUAUCUCAAGUUGUUGGAACUGGAUUUUAAAAUACUAUACAGGAAGGGUAUUAAAAAUAAGGUAGUAGACGCUUUAUCCAGGAGGUCUAUUGAUGUGGGCACCCAUUUUUAUUCUAUGUAUUCAGUGGUAAUCCUUUCUUGGAUGCAAAAGUUGAUUGCUAUUUAUAGGAGAGCCUCUGAUUUAAUUAAGAGGCAGUCAUUGGGUAAGGAUGUUGUUUCUGCGUAUUAGGUGAAAAAUGGGAUUCUAUAUUACAGAGACAAAAUGUAUGUGGGAGUUAAAACCAAUUUAAGGCAUGUGUUGAUGGAAUCCUAUCAUAGUUCAGUUGUACAAAGUCAUUCAGGUG